CAGUUUUGUGCAAAAAGAAACUUUUAUUUGCAGGGCCGGCCCUAGGAUUUUGGUGGCCCUAAGCAAGAUUUUUUUUGUGGCCCCAAAACAUGCACAGGGCAACUACCAAAUUACACGCACAGCUCAUAAUUGAAUUAAAACAGACUUGCACAUGGUGAACAGCAAAUAUCUUACUUUAUUUUAAAAUGAGGUAUCCUCAAAACAAUAAAGACAAUUCUUAACUGAAAUCUUCAAAUAAUAGAAAACAUAAAGGUAAGAUA